AAGUGCUUAUUUUUCAGCACUCCAUGGAGAGAAACAGCGUCUCUCGACUGAGCGGGAGGGUGGCUCCUGUGUGUAGUUGUGUUACAGUAUAUGGAGAGGCCACAGCAUUCAGCCAGAUGAACUUAGUUAAUCUUACCCUCCAAGAAAGAUGGCUCCACAGCUUCCAUCAGUAGCCUUUGCUUGAAAUUUCAGGUGAUAGAAGUGUCUUUUGUUCUAAUGGGGCAGCUCUUGGUAAGUUCCUAGAUAGCUUCAGGAAGGGAGCUGGUCACCAGAAAGACUAAGGAAGAUUAGAUGCUUGGAACUUUCAACCCCAUCCUCAUCUUCCAGGAAGGGGUAGGGGGCUAGAGACUGAGUUAAUGAUCAGUCAUGCUCAUGUGAUGAAGCCUCCACUAAAAUGCUGAUAGGAGUUUGGAGACCUUCCGGGUUGGUGAACCUAUCUGUGUACCAGGAAGGUGAUGCACCUCAACUGUGCAAGUGCAGAAGCUCCUCUACUCAGGACUCACUCUACCCUAUGUUGCUGUUCAUCUGAAUCCUUUAUCAUAUCCUGUAUUAUAUAAUAAACUGGUUAACUUUUAAGUGUUUCCCUGAAUUCUGUGAGCCAUGCUAGCAGACUAGCAAAACCAAGGCAGGGAGCCCUGACUUAGAGCUGGUCAGUCAGAAGUAGGAGUGACAAGCUGGGCUUACCCUCUCACAUAGGGUGCAAGGAGGCAAUCUUGUGGAACUUGAGCCCUUAGCCUCUGGGGUCUGUUCUAACUCUAGUUGGUAUGAGAAUUAUAGAACACCUAGCCUGUGUGCUAUGAUUGGUGUGGAAAACCCACACAUCUGUUGUCAUGUUGUAAGUAUGAGAGUAAAGGAGAAACAUUCAAGUGUUUUUCUCACACGAAUAAUAAGCCUAACAACUGAUUGAAGUGUUUAUGUGUUAGAGAUAGCAUUUCAAAUGGGUAUAUAAACCAGUUUUAUCAGCAUCAUAUAUCUCUUUGGGCGGGAGAGAUAGAAUUUCCUCCCACGUAUACCAAUGUAAAUCCCAAAUUAGUUAAAAAGUAUAAAUAUACCAAAUUAAAAAGUUGAAGAAAAUGCAGGUGACUAUCUCAGAUGAAAAGGGAAGGGAUUUUAUUUUUUUUAAAGUUUACCAAAGAUGAAAUACUGAUGACUAAUGAAAAAAGUUUUGUAGUACCUGAAAAAUUCAAAUGAAAACAAACAAUGCUUGCCAAGUGUAAGAAUGUUCUGAGUGUUUUUGUAUAUAUGGUUCAUUUAAUCAAGUCUGUGAAGGAGGCACAUUUGUUUACUCUUUUGUAGAUAAGAGUACAAGUCUAGAGGGGAUAAGUCAUCUACCGUGUGAUCUCCUUAACGAAGCAGUUGAGCUGCAGUCCUGAGCGCUUAUGGUCUGGCUCUAGGUCCACCAUAACCAUGUGCUGUAUGCUGUUGUAGAAGAUUCCAUUUUGCGUAUCAAACAGUAUUUGUAUAUAUAACAGCAAAGCCGAAGUGAGUAUAAGCCAGUUCAGCCUUUUUUUUUUUUUUUUUUUUUUUUUUUUUUUAAUUAGUGGUAGUUGUCAGUUGUAGUUGAGAGUUCUUACCUUUAACAACAAUUAAUUACCCAGGCGAAUAACCCGGGGAUGGAGUUUUGGCUAGGGGACUUGAAUUGUUGCAUAGCACAUAAAUUUAAAAAUAGGACUUGUCCAUAUCAGAGGCUAGCAGAAGCCACCCCCUGAAACCAUCCCUGCAACACAAACAACCUGAGCCUCGUGGGUCAAUUUAUGUCAGCAGAUAGUAGGCGAUUAGAGACUUAGUUCAGACCUUUACUGUUAUCAUUCCAGAUUAGAGGCCAGUGAAUUCUACCAGGCUCUGCCAAUUCCCAGGCCAACUGAAGGUAAGAGAUGUUUUCAACCCUCAGGGAAGGGUUGGUGUGCUGGUGAUGAGCUGGAGGAAGGGAGGAGGCUCCAGUGAAGACGGGAGGAAUCUUUGAAGUGCUUAGGAGAACAAGAUACUUUACCAGUCACCCAGUAGAGAAGGAGCUUUUCUGUUCAUCAGCAUGAGUUCUACUGUCAUGAAAUUUAAAAGGUAAGUAGAACUUCCUUGGAGCCUUCUCCUGUGUUACAGGAAACUGGAGGGACCCAUAAGGGUCUGCUAGUGUCAUACUCACCAAACAGCUUCUCAGGCAUAGUUUCUUGAUCAUAUGUGUUUCACAAAGUGUCCACACUUUUGACACAUUUCUCCCAAGGUAGCUUUUUGAGAAGGAUAGGGUUAUCCGUCAUACACUGAAUUAAUCUGCCUGGUUGGCUCCAGCCCCUCCUCGUCAAUCAGUCUCGCACUUUAACUGCUGGAAUCCUUCAGUCUGUCUGUGUGGCUCCAUGCUUAUCAAGGCCACAACAAUUUCAACCUUUUUCAUAACUCUGUAAUUGACACUUCUGCUCAGGCGUUUUCACUGAAUAAAAUGUGAGUUCUCUGCGCCUUUUCGUCUGAAUCUUUAACCUAUGUCAACUGUUCAAGUCCUUUCACUCCUAGGAGAGAAAACUAGCAACUGGUCAUUUUUAGGGGCAUUAUAAAUUGGACAGCCCUUUCAGGAGGCCAUAAAAAUAUUUGUAGCCUUUGUCCUGUUAUUCUUCUGGAAAUCUAAAGAAAGUAACCAAAAGUAUGAGAAACACUUUAUGCAGAAGAAUACAUCACAGUGAUUGAGAAUACCAAAGUAACAACUAUUUGGAGUAAGAAUAAGGUUAAUGAGGAGUCUCAGAGAAUAUUUUCAUUAAAGAGUGGUAAGGUUAAUGGAAAUCAGGAAAGAACAGUCAUCUAGAGCAUAACUAGGAAAGAGGUGAAAUACAUAGUUGAAGAAGUAAAGAAUGGCCAACUCAAGUGAAAUAAAGACUCAAAUUUGCCCACUGGGCUAACCAGGUAAGAAUUUAAACCUUACCCCUAGCUAUACCCAGGUAUUGGCAGGAACAAAAGCCAAACUACAUGUGGAAUUUAAGAGAUGGAAAGAAUGUAGUGCUAUCAAGAAGCUUGUCUAUGAAUGAAAAGAGGUAAAGGACUGUAAGCAGAAGGUAUACAGGCUAAAGAGGAGUUGUCUUUAAGAUGAAAGUCAGUUUACUUCUUUGUUCAUCCACUUGAUGCCUUAAGUGCCUUCUAUGAACCAGUAGUUUUAGUGUGAGAAUCAAUAAACAAGGUAUGGAGUUUUGCUUUGAUGCAGUGUUACUUUGUGGUAAUGGGCAGUGAACAAAUAUUUUAUGGCAUUUGAUGAAUGCUAUGAAAAAAAGGGUGAAGGAUUAUGGUGUGAUAAGUGUAUAGUGCUUAAUUGUAUAAGGUGUCAAGGAAGACCUCUAAUGAGAUGACCUUUGAACAGAGACUUAACUGAGAAAACAAGAUGUGUGAGAUCUCAUCAAAGAUCCAAAAGGGGACUAUGCUUGGCUACUCUGAGCAACAACAAGGAUACCAGGAGAGCUUGAGCAGAGUGAGUGAGAGGGAACUCAGGGGAAUCUGAGGUCAAAGAGGUGGCAGUGGACUGAAUCUUUCUAGGUCUUGCUGAGGUUUGGAUUUCAUUUUGAGUCAAGAUGGCCUGUAGGCAUUGAGUAGAGAAUUUUUUAAGAACUUUCGUUGGUAAAAAGAUUACUAAGGCUGCUGUAUUGACAGACAAGAAAAUGGCAAACCAGCCAGGACACAAUUGUAAUAGUCUAAUUGUGAGCAAAACUUAGGCCCUGUGAGGUGUAUAGCUAAGACCUGAACAAUUCAAUACAUUCAAAAUUGGAAUCACAUCAAACCUUUUUUCUGACCACAAUGGUAAGAAAAUAGAAAUCAUUUACAUGCCAAUGACGAGAAAGUUCACAAAUAGGUGAAGAUUAAACAACAAGCUCUUGUGUACUAAUGGAUCAAAAAAGAAAUUGGAAACAACUACCAAAACUUAGGGGAUACAGCAAAAACAAUUCUAAGAGAAAAGUUUACAGCAGUAAAUGCCUACGUUAGGAAAAAAAAAUCCUAGAACAACCUAGCUUCACACAGCAAGUAACUAGAAAAAGGACUAACCUAGCCCAACAGUAGAAGGAAGGAAAUAACAAAGGUCAGAGUGGAAAUGAAUAGAGACUAAAAGACAAUAGAGAAUGUGAAAUUAGGAUAAGAAUUGGGGCUUUUUGAAAAGAUAAAAUGGACAAACCGUUUUAGCUAAACUCACCAAGAAGAAAAGAGAUGCCUCAAAAUUAUAAAUGAAAGAGGGUUUAUACCACACAAAUACAAAAGCUCAUGAGAGACUACUACAAUUAUACACCAACAAACUGGACAACCUGGAAGGAAAUGGUUACAUUCCUAGAAACAUACACUCUACCAAGACCGAAUCAGGAAGAAAUAGAAAUUCUGAACAAACCAGUAAAUAGCAAGGACCUUGAAUCAGUAAUCAAAAAAACUCCCAACAAGGAAAAGUACAGUAUGAAAUGGCUUCACCAAUGACUUCCAAACAUUUAAAUAAUACCAACCCUUCUCAAACCUCCACAAAAUAGAAGAGUGUAUUUCCAAACUAAUUUUUCAAAGUCAUCGUUAUCUUGAUACUAAAACUAGACAAGUCAGUAUAAGAAAAAAAUUCACAAGCCAAUAAACUGGAUCAUGUAGUAUGUAUCAAUUGAAAAAAAUCUGCAUAUAAAUGCUCUCCAAGGGUCAGCUGUACUUAGGAAUACAUUUAACCAAGGAGAUGAAGGUGUAUAUACUGAAAGUUGUAAGACUGAUAAAAAAUGGAAGAGGACCCAAAAAUGGAAAGCUGUUCUGUAGUCUUGCAUUUGAAGAAUUAAUACUGUUAAAAUGUCCAUACCGCCCAAAGCAAUCUACAGUUCAGUGCUAUCCCUAUCAAAACUCCAAUGCCAUUUUUAAUAGAAUAGUCCUAAAGUUUGUAAGGAAUCACAAAAGACCCUGAAUAGUCAAAACAAUCUUGAGAAAGAGCAUCAAAGCUGGAAACAUCAUGUUUCCUCAUUUCAAACUACAUUACAAAGCUAUAGUCAUCAAAGUGGUAUGGUAUUAGUAUAAAAAUAGAUCAGUGGAACAGGAUAGAGAGUGCAGAAACAAACUUAGAAAUAUAUAGUCAACUUUCAGUAAACAAGCCAAAAAUAUACGAUGGAGGAAGGGAUAAUCUCUUCAGUAAAUAAUGUGAGGAAAAAAUUGCCACAUGCAUACGAACAAAAGUGGACCCCUAUCCUACACCAUAUACAAAAGUCAACUCAAUAAACUUAAAAAGUUUUUGCACAGCAAAGGAAACCAAAAACAGGACAAAAAGACAACCCAAAGAAUGGGAGAAAAUACUUGCAAAUGGAGAAACUGACAAGGGAUUAAUCUCCAAAAUAUGUGAACAACUGAUGCAGCUCCAUAUAUUAAAAAGAAAAACUCAAUCAAAAAAUGGGCAGAAGAGCUAAAUAGACAUUUCUCCAAAGA
rnacentral:lncRNA from 1 species